AUCUCUUGCAAUACCACCCUGAUUUUUUUUUAAUCUCUUCUGAUCUUAAAAGCUAAGCAGGUUUACUCCUGGUGUCUACUUAGAUGAGAGAUUGCCUAGUAAUAGUUUAUAGAGACAAUGUGGAGUAGAGGAUA
rnacentral:rRNA from 1 species